CUGGAGAAGGAUUCUUAAGUAGAUGAAUUAGGAUGAUAGGCAUCUGGUGUGCACUAUAGUUACUUUGGUUUGACAGCUGCUAAGGCACUUUUGCAGGUGAUUGGUAAUCAAGAUAAUGUAAAUCAUGCAGGUUUUCUGCAUUAAACAUGUGGAUUUGCUUUACACAGGGUAGACUUUGCUUUAACAUGGGAAACAGAAAACGAGAAAAACUAUUCCUGCAUACCUCC